AUAAGAGACAGGUGAAUCAUCGAAUCUUUGAACGCACAUUGCGCCCGGCAGUACUCUGCCGGGCAUGCCUGUUCGAGCGUCAUUUCAACCCUCAAGCCCUGCUUGGUGUUGGGGUCCCACGGCCGCCGUGGGCCCUGAAAGGAAGUGGCGGGCUCGCUACAACUCCGAGCGUAGUAAUUCAUUAUCUCGCUUAGGGCGUUGGGCGGCGCUCCAGCCGUUAAAGAACCAUCUUUAACUCAAGGUUGACCUCGGAUCAGGUAGGAAUACCCGCUGAACUUAAGCAUAUCAAUAAGCGGAGGA
rnacentral:misc_RNA from 1 species